rnacentral:rRNA from 14 species
CGGAUGUCUUUGUGUACGAUGAAGACUGUAGCAAACACUCGAAAAGUUACGAAAAUGCCAUAACUGAUAUAGGGAUGGCUUGA